rnacentral:piRNA from 1 species
AGAAAAGAAUGAUGGAAGGCUGUUUUACAU